rnacentral:rRNA from 1 species
UACGUAGGAUGCAAGCGUUGUCCGGAAUUAUUGGGCGUAAAGAGUUCGUAGGCGGUUGCCUAAGUCUGGGGUUAAAUACAGGAGCUCAACUCCUGCAUGGCACUGGAAACUGGGCGGCUAGAGUGUGGUAGAGGUCACGGGAAUUCCAGGUGUAGCGGUGAAAUGCGUAGAUAUCUGGAGGAACACCGGUGGCGAAGGCGGGUCUCUGGGCCGAUACUGACGCUGAGGAGCGAAAGCGUGGGGAGCGAACAGG